rnacentral:misc_RNA from 3 species
AUAUAUCUAUCAACCCACUCUUUGUUGAGUGGUUUGGAUGUGGGGGUUUGCUGGCCUCUUUAAUGGUUCAGCUCCCCUGAAAUGCAUUAGCAGAACAACCCUGUUCAUUGGUGUGAUAACUAUCUACGCUAUUGAAUGUGAAGGGAAUUUCAGCUUUCUAACUGUCUUUGGACAAUUAAUCAUUA